CACGGGGCGCAGCAGGCGCGAAACCUCCGCAAUGCACGCAAGUGCGACGGGGGAACCCCAAGUGCCACUCUUAACGGGGUGGCUUUCAGAAGUGUAAAAAGCUCUGAAUAAGCCGCCGCCGGC
rnacentral:rRNA from 1 species